rnacentral:rRNA from 1 species
UACGGAGGAUGCGAGCGUUAUCCGGAUUUAUUGGGUUUAAAGGGUGCGUAGGCGGGAUGCCAAGUCAGCGGUAAAAAUGCGGUGCUCAACGCCGUCGAGCCGUUGAAACUGGCGUUCUUGAGUGGGCGAGAAGUAUGCGGAAUGCGUGGUGUAGCGGUGAAAUGCAUAGAUAUCACGCAGAACUCCGAUUGCGAAGGCAGCAUACCGGCGCCCUACUGACGCUGAGGCGCGAAAGCGUGGGUAUCGAACAGG